UUUAACAAAGAAGAAGCAAAGCCGCGAGGUAGAGCAAAUCUCAAAAAAACAAUCUCGGUUCAGACUGCAGGCUGCAACUCGCCUGCACGAAGUCGGAAUUGCUAGUAAUCGUAGGUCAGCAUACUACGGUGAAUACGUUCCCGGGCCUUGUACACACCGCCCGUCAAACCAUGAGAGUCGGUAACACCCGAAGCCGAUAGUCUAACGAAAGAGGACGUCGUCGAAGGUGGGAUUGAUGACUGGGGUGAAGUCGUAACAAGGUACC
rnacentral:rRNA from 1 species